GGGGAAUUUUGGACAAUGGGCGCAAGCCUGAUCCAGCAAUGCCGCGUGCAGGAUGAAGGCCUUCGGGUUGUAAACUGCUUUUGUACGGAACGAAAAAGCUCUCUCUAAUACAGGGGGUGAAUGACGGUACCGUAAGAAUAAGCACCGGCUAACUACGUGCCAGCAGCCGCGGUAAUACGUAGGGUGCAAGCGUUAAUCGGAAUUACUGGGCGUAAAGGGCGCGUAGGCGGCCUGUUUAGUCAGAAGUGAAAGCCCCGGGCUCAACCUGGGAAUAGCUUGUGAUACUGGCAGGCUUGAGUUCCGGAGAGGAUGGUGGAAUUCCCAGUGUAGAGGUGAAAGUCGUAGAUAUUGGGAAGAACACCGGUGGCGAAGGCGGCCAUCUGGACGGACACUGACGCUGAGGCGCGAAAGCGUGGGGAGCAAACA
rnacentral:rRNA from 1 species